AUUGAACGCUGGCGGCAGGCCUAACACAUGCAAGUCGAACGAGUGGCGGACGGGUGAGUAAUGUCUGGGAAACUGCCUGAUGGAGGGGGAUAACUACUGAAAACGGUAGCUAAUACCGCAUACCAUCGGAUGUGCCCAGAUGGGAUUAGCUCGUAGGUGGGGUAAAGGCUCACCUAGGCGCCGAUCCCUAGCUGGUCUGAGAGGAUGACCAGCCACACUGGAACUGAGACAAGGUCCAGACUCCUACGGGAGGCAGCAGGGGGGAAUAUGGCACAAUUGGCGCAAGCCUGAUGCAGUCAUGCCGCGUGUAUGAAGAAGGCCUUCGGGUCGUAAAGUACUUUCAGCGGGGAGGCGUUACCCGCAGAAGAAGCCACGGCUAACUCCGUGCCAGCCGCCGCGGUAAUAC
rnacentral:rRNA from 1 species